GAUGUGUAUAAGAGACAGGUGGUAGGAGAGCGUUCUAAGUGCUGUGAAGUCAGACCGGAAGGACUGGUGGAGCGCUUAGAAGUGAGAAUGCCGGU
rnacentral:rRNA from 1 species